GAUGUGGGUAGCGGAGCAAGACCUUUACACCUAUAGAACACCAUCUCCUGCAAACAUUCCUGGUGGUGCUCGCUGCCCCUCCCCCAACCCCAAUCAAGCCCUCCACGUGCCUCCUGCCGCCCCUCACCUCACCUGUCCUCUGCCGCUCACCUGGAAAGAGGAGAAGGAAACGUGUGAUUAAGGGAACCAUAAAAAUACACAAAUAUAUGAAUGCUCACACGUGCCCAUUAGAAUUUAAACCAGAUUCUUAGUUAUGAACAUCUAUAGCAUAUUCAAAUAGCGUUAUAGGAGAGUGAAAGAAAAUGGACUAUUAGUUGACUUUCUUAAAAGGUAUACAAUUUUUUCGAUAAUCACAUAUAAUUUUUAAGACUGUGUUGUACAGUCUCUUAAACACUUACAUAGCCAGAACAAAAAGACAAAUUAAACUAAAUAAUCUCCUAAUCUCUCUUUUUUUUUCUGUUCAGUCUUGCUACUGUUAUAGAACUCUGAAUCUUAACGAAGGAAGAGCGUGGCAGGAAAAGGGUUAAGAUGUUAUAAGGGAGUAUUUGAAAUUAAUGGAUAACGUUUGAUUGAUUGGCAUCUUGAUAGUUAGGAAGUAAUAAAGAACAGUGUGCGGAAAAGUCACAAAUGAAAACAGAGAAAUGAAUAAGAAUGAAGUAAAAGUAAUACAAAAAAAAAGAAAUGAAAGGAAUAAGACGGAAUAAGGGAAUGUAAGGAAGUGAAUGAGCUGAAGAAACGAUUAAUAGAAGGAAAUAUAAUGAAAUAACAAUAAUAUCAAUAAAGUAUAGGCGAUAA